GGGGUAUAUAGCUCAGUAGUUAAAGUGCUUACCCAGCAUUUGCAAGGCCCUGGGUUCAAUUCCCUGUACUUCA
rnacentral:tRNA from 1 species